rnacentral:piRNA from 1 species
UAGCCCUCAAGAGAAAUUUCUACCUGUUC